rfam:Ictidomys tridecemlineatus contig023258, whole genome shotgun sequence.
GGGGUUGUGGCUCAGUGGUAGAGCGUUUGCCUAGCAAACAAGAGGCACUGGGUUCGAUCCUCAGCACCA